GUGAUUGUGACUCAAUGGUAGAGUGCUCACCUAGCACGUGCAAGGUUCUGGGUUCGAACCUCAGCACCACA
rnacentral:tRNA from 1 species